GCAGCCGUGGCCUAGUCGUAAGGCGUCCGUCUCCUAUUACAGGUUCAACGGAAGAUCCCGGGUUCAAAUCCCGGCGGUUGUG
rfam:Penicillium oxalicum 114-2 unplaced genomic scaffold scaffold_4, whole genome shotgun sequence.